rnacentral:sRNA from 1 species
ACAGCAGCAUUGGAGACUGAAGUCUCUAUUUAUCUCCACUGUAUAGGUACAGAUCAGACAGCAACACUGCAUGCUUCCCCAGAGCCCUCCGACCACAUGUCACAGCUCUGGCCUGAAGGAACCUGUAAGGGUGAAAAAGCAGUUCUGUUUCCAUGCUGAUACAGUCCCUAGGCUUUG